rnacentral:misc_RNA from 1 species
GAUGAAGAACGUAGUGAAAUGCGAUACGUAAUGUGAAUUGCAGAAUUCAGUGAAUCAUCGAGUCUUUGAACGCACAUUGCGCCCCCUGGCAUUCCGGGGGGCAUGCCUGUCCGAGCGUCAUUUCUGCCCUCAAGCACGGCUUGUGUGUUGGGUGUGGUCCCCCCGGGGACCUGCCCGAAAGGCAGCGGCGACGUCCGUCUGGUCCUCGAGCGUAUGGGGCUCUGUCACUCGCUCGGGAAGGACCUGCGGGGGUUGGUCACCACCAUGUUUUACCACGGUUGACCUCGGAUCAGGUAGGAGUUACCCGCUGAACUUAAGCAUAUCAAUAAGCGGAGGA